ensembl:lncRNA
CUUAAAAGACAAAUAUUUACUGCUCAGUAGAACUGUUACUUUUAACUGUGGAUGUGCUAGAGCUUUUUGUUGCUGGUUUGGAUUGUGUUCAUAUUGGACAAACAUCUAGGUAUUUGUUGUUCUUCCCAACUUUAUUUAGGCAUUUAUGAAAAAAAAAUUAUUUUUAUUAUUUUCUUUUACAUGUGUUAUUUGCUUCGAUCUUAAUAGCCUGAGAACUCUGAAAAUACAAAUCUUCAAAGCAGAUGAAAUAAAAGCUGCAGCCUUAGAGGCUUCUUUGGGACAGAGCUGUUUCCUCUAACUCACUGAAGACAUUGCUUCAGGGAGCACAAAAUAUAUUUGUUCUCCAUGGCACUUCAUUAUUUGGCUUCCUUGGAAGACCCAGUUCAGGAGCUGGUUGCUUCUGACAGCAAGAGCAGUUGCUGCAGCCCAGAUGAAGGCUCUGACUGUGGUUCUAGGAGAUGAGACACAAAUGUUAGCAUGGACAAUACUGCUGUUAUACGGAUCCAUUGGAAAGCACAUCGAGAAAUGGAAGACUUUUAUUCUUUCCUACUCAUGAGAAAGAUCUGUCAAGUCAGUGAGUGGUUUGAUUCAAUGAGAGUGAAACUAGUCCAUGGUGGAAGAUUUUUAAAAAGAGAGGUGAGUGGCUUUUUUUUUUUUUUAUUUGUCAGUGGUUACAUGGUAGAAAACGUGAAAUCCAGUAAGUGGGCUGCCCAAAAAUUAGAGCCAUCCCUCAGACAUGUGGGAAGGUGCUCUCUGUGUUAAACUAGUCAUCAUUUCCCCAUAAGAGUGUCCCAAAAAGGAGUGUAUUUGGGUCUGCUCAGGAAGAACAGAGAUGUCCUUGAUUCUGAAGUUUGGUGAAUCCUUCAUGGUAAACAGACUUGCCAAGGAUGGAACAUAAGCAUGCAAUGGCUUUCACAUUUCUGAGUGGUGGAGCUGCCCAUAGCUUUGAUGAGCCAGCUCAUUCAGGUUGUGGUGUACCAGCCAAAAGACGGGAUGCCACAGCCCUGCAUAGAGGGAAGGACAGUGAGUGGGAGUGACAGCCUGGCAAGUUCAGUUGAGAAGUGGAGUAGUAAAUGCUAGUGUAAGCCACCAAGACAAUGGAUUUUCCAUUUACAGAUUAACACUGGAAAUAUCUCAAUAGGAUGUGUUUUACUCAAACAGGAGUUGUGGGGAUUGAUGCAGAAGUAACAGUAAAAAUCUCAUAUAAGAGAUUAGACCAGAAUGUCUGAUGGCCCCUUUAGAUCUUAAUAAAAUUUUAAAUAUUAAACUGGAACCUCUUUAUGUUAGAUUUGAGUAGCACUUCUUGGUGGAAUUGUCAAUAUCUCAAGUGGCAUUGAAGUUUCCAUGGGAUUGUAAUUUUGCAUGAGCCCAUGCUACAUGCCUGAGGACACUUGGCCUUAUAAUCCUUGCUUGGGUAAAACAGACAGCCAGAGUGGACCCAAGCAGAUAAAAAAGACAAAUGUCUUGUGGACGAAAAGGAAAGGAGAUUCAGUGAAUAUUAGAAAAUAUCAGAUUGUCAUUGAAGGAUAGUAUUGUCUUUUAGCUGAGUCUUUAAAGCCCUCAUGUAAAUCCUGAUGAAGUGAGGGGCUGAGGCACUGACUUCAGUGGGAUCAUUGAAGAACAGGGUUAAGUGAUUCUUAGUGUACUGGGACAGAGAAGAAUACUGACAACAGGGUUAUCUUUUGCAUCUAGGUCUCUUUUUCAAUCCCUGAUAAAAUGUGAACCACAAAGGAAAAUACCUAGUAGGAAAUUGAAGAAAUAAAAAGAUCCAGAAUGAAAAUUUUGACUCUUGAGGCUUAGCAGAGGAAGGGGAAAACAUAUCAGCCUAAGAAGUGCACAUGGAUAUUCAUCACUAAUUAGGGAUGACAAUCACUGUGGAGCCAUAGGGUGGAAUAGGAGCAGGGUCUUUACUGAAAUUCCCCAGGCUGAAAUAAUGUCACUUCUGUCUGCAGAGAAGUUCUUGCCAAAGCUUGUUUUUUGGGUUGAUAUUUUGUUAAAACAGAACACCCAACCAGCAAUGUUGCACUAUGCUAUUUUAGUGUUCAUAGGUAGAUGUUAUACUGAUUUUUAUAAAAAUAUUUCUUUUGAUUUUUCUGUGUAGAAAAAUAAAUAAUUUCCAUUUAAGAGGUCAUGUUAAAGUGCAAAAUUAAACAUUUACCCAAGCCGAAUUUUUUUUGCCAUUUCAUAUUCUGGAAACAUGGAGUCCCUUAGGCACUUACAGUGUUUGGAAAUGACUGUGUCACAUGGGUUACCUCUGGGUUACUUCUCAGCUCAGGUUCACAGGUUGGUAUGGUCAUAAUUAUCACAAGAAUUAGCUGAAGACCGUAGCAAGACUAUUUUUAUAGCUUAUUAUCAUAUUCUAAAUACUAAAUUGUUCUGUCAAAUAGAGAGAUUUGAUAGCUGACCCACAGACAGUGCACUGACUUUGCUUACAUACUUAAGCUACUAGUAUUUCUAGGAAGAUAUGGUUUAUUAAUUCAUUAUUAUUUUAUUGAUGUUCAAUUGAUGUCUGAUUAAAUAUAAAUUAGACUCUUGGUAAUAAUAAUGUAAUAGGAUGAGGCAGGUGAGAUUCCCCCAGGAUAGUUUGUAAUGAAGCUUCAAAUUUUUAAUAAUCUUAAACUCAUAAAUAAAUUAUUACAGGUGAAACAAAUGCAAAAAUACUGAAAUAAGCCAUAAAAAUGUUAAGUGGUGGUGAGGAGACCCAUAAUCUGCUGGGAGAUCUGUGCAAGAACGUACACAUUGGUCAGAAUCAGUGCUUUCCACUCCUUCCAAACAUUUCAUAUUUAGGUGUGUAUCUACCCCUCCUAUCCCAUUAUUAUGCUGCACCAUCCUGUUGCCAGACAUUUGGCUUUGCCUGGGAGCAGUGUUAAUUUAAUACACUCAGGUGACCCCAGAGGCACUGGAAUGACACGGCAGCAGCAGUCCAGAGUGCUGCAGUGAUUCCUGCUGUUAGCAGAACUGCUGGGGACAGCAGUGCUCUUCUGGACACUUGUCUGUGAACUCUUCAGGGAAGAGUCAGGGGGAGCUGUCUCUUUGACCACACUGUCAGUGUUGAGAAGGACACAUCCUCUCACUCAGCUAUAUCUUUCAUCUUUUCCUUGGAAGACAAAUUUCCCAGGUGCUUCUCUGUUUUUCUUGAAGAGUUAGCAAGGAGUCUCUUAGACAAGAAAAGAAAGAAAGGAGAACUUACCCUUAUGUAAGGAAAGAAGGAAUUAGACAAGGAGAAGAUUCUGAUAGUGUAUUUGCUGGUUUGUUUGGGGAUUUUGGGUCCCCAGUAUUCUGCAAAGAUUUCAAGAGAUUCAAAACCCCCCAUUUCUUCAGUAAAACCAGCACCAUUAUCCCAGCCUUGAAAGACAGUGAGAUCCAAAGGCAAUACUCAGUAUCUGUGUUUUAGACUAACCCUAGUGGGAAUUUCAGAAACUCAGCACUUUGUAAAAGCUGUUGAUAAUUUGAAGAGUUAAGUCAUGCAGCAGGUUAGUAAACGUAAAGAAGUUUACUUUCUAUGAUUAAUUUUGCAGUAUUUCCAUCAGCAGAAGUAAGGGAUACACAAAAGACUGAAAAUCUGGCCCUGUGACCAUAGUCACUGGUUUAGACUUUCACUUAAAAUUAUAUUCCAAGAAUCUGAUGGUUGUUGAACAGCCAAAGGGUUGCAAACUAGAAAUUUGGCUCAAUACAAGGUACAGAAAAAGACAAGUAUGCUGCUUUUCUGAUGUGAGAGACCUUGGUUGCUAGGAGGAAAGCAUUCAAGUGUUUGCUUAUGCUUUGCUGGGGUGUUAACAGUGUGGGAUAAAUAGAUAACACCACGCCUCUUAAAUAACAUUUUCUUAAAUAGUGAAACUAUUUCCUAAUGAAGAAAUUGCAGUAAUCACAUUUCUGUAAAAAUAGGGAGUUUUGGCAUUUAUGUAAUUAAAGGGCAGUAUUUUUCCAAACACAAUUCUACUGGCAAAUACAUUUUUGCAUAUUUGUGUAAUUGGAGAUUUUGAAAUCAACUUGUUGUUGAAACACAGAAAAUUGUUGCCUCUCCACAACAGGGUAAGGAGAGAGGAGUCACGUGUGAUUUGCAGCAUCCAUAGCAAAAUUAUGUUCUUUUUGGUAGAUAUGGUUAUUCCUGUACGUCUGCCAGGAGACCCACGGGUACAGAAAGCAGAACCAGCUUGAAUCACUCUUCACUUUUUCCAUGAUGUGCCAGGCCAGCAUGGUCUGGUGGAACUGUUUGCCAGCUCCUGUCCAUGCAUUUGCUGACACUUCUCUGGGGAACCACAAUAAGCAAUUGCUUAUGUCACCAGAUGUCUGUGCCUCCUCCUCCAUGUGCCAGCACAGGCUGGGCUUGGGAGAAGGUCCUGCCCUGCUCUUGAUUUUGUUUGCACACUGCCCAGGUUUCUUGUGACUUUUUGUCAGUGUGACAAAAAGCCCUUUCCCAGGCUCUGGUUGCUGCCUUCGAUGUAGGACUGCUGUUAGACAUGAAUAAAUGCUUUGCAAGGUCCCUGCCACUUCCUCAUGCAGGAAUUAGAGAAGUCUCAAGGUUAGUUUCAUACUUGGGGCUCCUCUUUUUUUGUCAUUUUCUUGUCCUGCAAGAAAAUAAGAUACAAAUUACUUCAAGCACAGCACCUUCUACUUCAACUUUGAUGUAAAGGUCUUAU